GGACUGAGCGGCGGACGGGUGAGUAACGCGUGAGUAACCUGCCUCAUACAGGGGAAUAACAGUUAGAAAUGACUGCUAAUGCCGCAUAAGCGCACAGGGCCGCAUGGCCCGGUGUGAAAAACUCCGGUGGUAUGAGAUGGACUCGCGUCUGAUUAGCUAGUUGGCAGGGUAACGGCCUACCAAGGCGACGAUCAGUAGCCGGCCUGAGAGGGUGAACGGCCACAUUGGGACUGAGACACGGCCCAAACUCC
rnacentral:rRNA from 1 species